rnacentral:lncRNA from 1 species
GCGCGGGAAUUCGGGAACCCAGCGCGGGCUGCAGAGGCCCCAGCAGGAGCCCCGCCUCCCGGCUCGUCGACGGAUUCGUUCUUGGCCCUGCCAAUCUGAUUCUCAGCUCCCAGAACUUCACGAUUUAGAAUGUAGACUUUUGCUUUGUGACAGUUCUCCCCAUCCCCGACUACUAAAUGACGAACCCUCUUUAACUGUGAAAUGUACCUGCAAAGUCAAGCAGUGUCUUUGGAUACCCAAGUUCAGAUAUGAACAAGCAAGCUACAAAAGCGGGGUGGGCGGGUAUGAGUGAGCAGAAGAGAGAAACCGGGCUGCAAAAAAGGAAAAUAAAGGCGGGACGUGGGGGACAGUGAUCGAGCUGAGCAAAUUAUUUUUUUUUUAAUUAUAAGCAGCGGCUGAUCAUUUCACGUUCCCUGGGAAAGGGAUGUCAAGGGUGCCUUGCUGCCUCCUCAUGUGUGUCAAUAGGAGAGUGAUGAUAUUUGAGUUGGAUCUUAAAGAGGAAGUGUCUGUAGUUAUCCAGGAAGGAAGGUGUUAAUUACGGAUUUGAAGUGUCAAGGUCAAAAAACACAUGACAAUACAGAAAAAUAAUAGAAAUAACUUGUCAAUGAUGUUUCUGAGAUGAACAAUCUUAGGUGAUGAGAGACUGUAGAUGCAGUGGGGCAGAAUUUCCUCAAAAUGUAGAGGAGGAGAAGAUUGUGGUCCAGACUUCCAUCUUCCCAUAUAAUGACUCCAGAAGAAAAAGAAAGCUUCUCUCUGAGCAUCCAGAUAUAAAAUCUAUGAUAAGAACCCUAAUCAGGAUUACCAGUAGGAGAUUACCUGAUCCUAGGUUAUUUGUUCACACUCUCUGAACAGCAGGGCAGGAUAUUAUAAUUAUUAAAAUUAGAGUUACAGAAAGUGGGGCAGAAGACUUCCACUUAAAAAGGUAUGUUAUUCACAGAAAAUGAGGGAAAAGAAUCUUGCACAGAGGGAAGAAAAAAAAUGAUAUCUCUAUACUCACUAAGCCUCAGCUUCCACAAGUAAAAAUUAAGAUUAAUAAUAAUACCUACUAAUAGGACUGCCUGGGGGCCAAAGAAGAUGAUUUAGAGAAAGGAUUUGUUCCAAGACCUCCCAUAAUAAGUAGUUACUA